GCAGGGGGUUAGGGGGAGAUGACUUUCCAAAAGGCACACAGUAUCUGUGGCAGAAGAAGGACAAGCACUUGGGGGUUUUGAUUCUGUUGAUACUUUUAUCACUUUUUUUAGGAUUUUUUUUAGGAUUUUGCUUUUUUAGAAUUUCUGGUAGGUAAGAUGUGACAUAUCCAGAGAGGAUGAGUAGAUGGGAAGUCAUCAUUUGGCUGGGCUGUUGUCCGCAGGGUGACACAGCUGUAGCCCAACAAGUUGAAAAGCAGUAGAGAGACUUUGGGAUAACACAGUGAAGGGGAUGUUAUUUUCAAGCAAGGAUUUUUUUUUCAGCCUUGGAGCAGGGGAUUGCUGCUUUGUGGUAUGCUUCCUCCACCUUGUGGCCAUGUCUAGUAAUGACACCACCAAUUUCCUGUCCCUGGCCUCUUGCUGCUCUCUCCUUACCCAUUUUCCCUGGGCAGUGCUCAGGUUGCAAACUCUGGGAGGGAGUCUUAUUUAAUUCAGAAAGGGCCAAGUCAUAUAUGGACCCAGCAGUCAAGAGCCCCCAGUCCUGGUUCUGACUCGACUCCUUUAGCCUUGUGACUUUGCUUGUACAAUGACUUCCCUUUUCUGGGUCCUAGUUUCCUCAUUGUAAAAAGAAGGAGAUAAUAAUUUCUCUCCUUUCUUUUCCAGAGGGUCAUUGUGGGUGGGGAUCAAAUGAUGAGGCAAUUUUUAAAUCUCUGUACAAGUAUGAGGAUUGAGGUACUAGAAAAAUCUUUCUGACCACUGUCAUUUUUUAUAAUAAUAUAACAACUAUAGCUAUCUCAUUUGAGACUCAGAACAACCCUGUGGGGUGGAUGCUAUUAAUUUCCAUUUGAUAGAUGCAGAACUUGAGGCCAAGAAAGAUGAAGUGACUUGCCCAGUGACUUUUAGUGAAAUUAGAACUCAUUUCUUUCUAACUCCAAGUGCAGUGCUCUUAACCAACAUGCUACCACCUAGGUACCCCCAACACUUGGUAGGAACCUCUUAUUAUCAUAUGUGAAGCACUGGAAUAACAUCUUCUGAUGUUAUUCCUUCUGAUGAGGAUGAUAGUUUUUGUGUUUAACUGGGAAGGAAGUUAAUAAGUAUUAAACUUCAUGAAUAAAAAUGUAGGAUCUAGAGUGGUGGAUAAUUCUUAUUUCAAUAGUGUUUUAGCUUAUUUGAGAACCUUCUCAAAAAGAUCUAAUAGAAAGCCCCUAAUAGAAAAAAGGACAAGGAAUAUGAAUAGGCAGUUUUUAAAAGAAGAAAUUCCAUUUACCAACAUGAACAAAGAUAGAGAUCACUCAUUAAAAAUGCAAAUUGAGCUCUUCUAAGGUUCCAUCUUAUACCAGCCAGAUUUGAUAAGGUGACACAAGGAGAAAAUUGCUAGGAUCACAUUACUAGGAAGUGUCUAAGACCAGAUUUGGACCCAGGACCUCCUAUCGCCAGCUUCCUCAUCUGGAAAAUGAACUGGGGAAGGAAAUGACAAAUCACUCCUAUGUCUCUGCCAAGGAAACCCCAAAUGAAGUCACAACGAGUCAGACGUGACUGAAACAACUGAACAACAACAACCUUUGAACUCUGAGUCUACCAAUAUGUUUCAUCAUGAGUCCUUUGAAAUUGUUAUUGGUUAUAGUAUUGGUCACAGUUCUUAAAUCUUUCAAAGUUGUUUCUCCUUACAAUAUUGUUGUUAUAUAAAUUGUUCUGGUUCUCUUCACUUUGCUCUGCUUUAGUUCAUAAGAGUCUAACCAGGUCUCUCUGAAACAAUCCCUUUCAUCAUUUCAUACAGUAUAAUAGAAUUCUAUCAUUUAUUUAUAUACUAUAACUUGCCCCACCAUUCCUCAAUUAAUGGGGAACCAAAUGGGGAAAUUCCUUCAAUUUCCAAUUCUUUGCCACCACAAAAAGAGUUCCUCUAACUAUUUUUGUAUAAAUGGGUCCUUUUCUGUCUUUCUCUGAUGUCUUUAGGGGUAUAGACCUACUUGUAGUAUCUCCAGGUUAAAGAGUUUUUAGCUUUUUGUUCAUUGCUCCAAAUUGCUUUUGUAAUAUUUGGGUUUUUAAUAAAGAAUAUGAAGCCAUUUCUUUGGGAAUAACAUUGUUAAUAAACAAAUAAUGUAUCUUUCACUGGCCUCCUAAGCAAAAAAAGAGGAAGUGAGUCCUGUCUCUUGCUUUAAAGGGAGUUGUGUCCUCUUUCUAUUGAUAGCUCAACUGAAGGACUUUCCCUGCUAGUCUCUAUUGGUGGAUAUUUUGAGACAGGAGGUAGACUUAGAGACCUCAAUUCCUCCCUCCUUGCUUCAUCACAGGAGAGUUGGGUCUUUGCUAAGACCUGGAAGAUGCCAGCACAUUCUGCCCUGUGGCCCAACCACUAUAUUUUACGUGAGUUCAACAGGGUUGCUUAACCCACUCAGCCUUUCAGCUGGGUCAAGAUUUCACCAUGGCUGACCAGCCUUGCCCUCAAUCCUUGUAUCUAUAACGAAAAGACAAAAGAUCCACAUCCAGUUUUAUAGCCUUGGGGAGAAACUAAGCUUAAGUCUCACCUUAGAAUCCAACUAUUUCAGUCUGAUGACUCAGGGGAAAAUCAUUUCACAAUUCAAUAUUAGUUUUCCACAUUUUCCAGAAUAGCUGGACCAGUUUGGUCUGGAUAUACCCACUAGUACAUCUAGUAUGCAUAUACCCCAAAGAGUUCAAAGACAGAGAAAAGGAUCUCUGUCCAUAAUAUCUCUAGCAGCCCCCACCCCUACCCCUUAAUAGUCAAGAGGUAUCCAUCAUUUGGAGAAUGUAUGAAAAAAUUAUGGUAUAUGAAUAUAAUGGAAUAUUAUAUAACCAUAAGAAAUGAUGAAUCUGAGAGAAUUAGAGAAACCUAUGAGGAUCUGAAUGAACUGGUGGGAGAAGGGAGCAGCCCUCUCUGGCACACAUGCCAUAGGUUUGCCAACAUGGGUCUAUGGGAUUUUCUUGAUAAAGAUACUAGAGUAGUUUGCCAUAUCCUUUUCCAGUGUUAUUCAAGCAGAGCUUAAGUGGUCACAAAAUUAGUAAGUGUCUGAGGUCAAAUAUUAACCAAAUUUUGACCCUUUCUGACUCCAGACCCAGUUCUCUAUUCACUGUGCCACCUAGCUGCUUCUUAAUGUUGAAUUGAAUAUCCACUUUAAAAACUGUACAUUACAGAAAUUUCACACGUUAUUUCAUAGUUUGUCACAUAGUUCUUUUUUGCCUGCUUAUUGAAAUAUCCAUGUUUCUCUAUAUUUAGGUUCAUAACAAAAAAAGAAAAA